CAUUGAGUGUUGUGAAACACUACAAGCUAAUUUUAUCGUAAAAGCUGUAUACAGGCUGUAUUGUAGUAUCACUUGGCACUUGUAGCUGUACAAAUUUAUCUGUCAACCCCGUUUUAAAGCUAUUUCUUAUGGCGUAAUCUUACUCUCCUAUAAGAAUAAUAGUUGUAUAACUUCUGUCUGUAAGGGUAUUAUAAAACCAAAUGAAUAAAUGGCAGCUAUAGUACAGCUUUUUUCUGUAUUACUGAUAGAGUCGCUUAUAACAAUCUUUUGGCGUAAUUUUACACUCAUAUAAGUAUAGUAGUGUAAUGAUUUCUGAAAAUAAGUGUAUUAUAAAACUAAAGGAAUAUAUGACACUGUUUUAAUUACAAAAGCUGUAGAAGACACUCCAUUUAUUACACAGCACAGCUACUAAGAUUAUAAUGCUCUCCAACUAUCCUGUAGGCUGUUUAAAAAUUGUCGCCAUUUUACAAUAAAAAAAAACGUAUUUGUAAAUAUAAUUAAA